AGAUUGAACGCUGGCGGCAUGCCUAACACAUGCAAGUCGAACGGGAGUAGCAAUACUCUAGUGGCGGACGGGUGAGGAAUACGUAGGAAUUUGCCCUUAAGUGGGGGAUAACCCGGGGAAACCCGGAUUAAUACCGCAUGACCUCGAAAGAGACAAAGUGGGGGAUCGCAAGACCUCACGCUUUUGGAGAAGCCUACGUCGGAUUAGCUAGUUGGUGAGGUAAUGGCUCUCCAAGGCGAC
rnacentral:rRNA from 1 species